rnacentral:rRNA from 1 species
CCUACGGGUGGCUGCAGUGGGGAAUAUUGGACAAUGUGCGAAAGCCUGAUCCAGCCAUGCCGCGUGUGUGAAGAAGGCCUUCGGGUUGUAAAGCACUUUCAGUGGGGAAGAAAGCCUUGGGGCUAAUACCCUCGAGGAAGGACAUCACCCACAGAAGAAGCACCGGCUAACUCCGUGCCAGCAGCCGCGGUAAUACGGAGGGUGCGAGCGUUAAUCGGAAUUACUGGGCGUAAAGCGCGCGUAGGCGGUCUGAUAAGCCGGUUGUGAAAGCCCCGGGCUCAACCUGGGAACGGCAUCCGGAACUGUCAGGCUAGAGUGCAGGAGAGGAAGGUAGAAUUCCCGGUGUAGCGGUGAAAUGCGUAGAGAUCGGGAGGAAUACCAGUGGCGAAGGCGGCCUUCUGGACUGACACUGACGCUGAGGUGCGAAAGCGUGGGUAGCAAACAGGAUUAGAUACCCGAGUAGUC